rnacentral:piRNA from 1 species
UGGUCCCUUGUCAAAAUUUGGCAGUGAA